CUGAGUGGCCAGGGAUCCCCCCUAAUGUGCAAGAUCUCAUCUGAUCUCAGAAGCUAAGCAGGGUCGGGCCUGGUUAGUACCUGGAUGGGGGACUGCGUGGGAAUACCAGGUGCUGUAGGGU
ensembl:rRNA 5S_rRNA 5S ribosomal RNA